rnacentral:piRNA from 1 species
UGAAAAGAGCCGUGAUGAAUGCAUCCUGUGA